AGAUGGCCCGCACCGUGUGGUCGCUUCGGAGGGGAGACAAUGGGAAACUGGGGCAUGGAGAUACAAACCGUGUCUAUAAACCCAAAGUAGUGGAGGCCUUGCAGGGGAUGUUCAUAAGGAAAGUGUGUGCUGGAAGCCAGUCCUCCCUGGCCCUAACCUCCACUGGACAGGUGUAUGCCUGGGGCUGCGGGGCUGCCUGGGCUGUGGCUCCUUCUGAAGCCACUGCUCUGAGACCCAAGCUGAUUGAGGAGUUGACAGCGACCAGGGGUGGUAGACCUCUCCAUAGGAGACAGCCACUGUCUAGCUCUCUCACACGGUAAACAACCCUUU